AAAAUCCGUUGGUUUCACGGGACCGUGAGG
rnacentral:tRNA from 2 species